AUUGAACGCUGGCGGCAGGCUUAACACAUGCAAGUCGAGCGGGGUGAUGGUGCUUGCACUAUCACUUAGCGGCGGACGGGUGAGUAAUGCUUAGGAAUCUGCCUAUUAGUGGGGGACAACAUCUCGAAAGGGAUGCUAAUACCGCAUACGUCCUACGGGAGAAAGCAGGGGAUCACUUGUGACCUUGCGCUAACAGAUGAGCCUAAGUCGGAUUAGCUAGUUGGUGGGGUAAAGGCAUACCAAGGCGACGAUCUGUAGCGGGUCUGAGAGGAUGAUCCGCCACACUGGGACUGAGACACGGCCCAGACUCCUACGGGAGGCAGCAGUGGGGAAUAUUGGACAAUGGGGGGAACCCUGAUCCAGCCAUGCCGCGUGUGUGAAGAAGGCCUUAUGGUUGUAAAGCACUUUAAGCGAGGAGGAGGCUCUUUUGGUUAAUACCCAAGAUGAGUGGACGUUACUCGCAGAAUAAGCACCGGCUAACUCUGUGCCAGCAGCCGCCGUAA
rnacentral:rRNA from 1 species